rnacentral:snRNA from 1 species
AUACUUACCUGGCGCGGGGAUACCGUGAUCAAGAAGGCGGUGCCUCCAGGACGAGGCCUGUACAUUGCACUCCGUAUGGGCUGACUCCUGCGACUACCCCAAAUCGGGUGGCUCGAGCGAGCGCAUAAUUUUUGGUAGUGGGGACAAGCGUUCGCGCUGUCCCUU